rnacentral:lncRNA from 1 species
GGAGUCAGGAACUACUGGGGUACAUGAGGCUGUGAGCUCUGUUUCAUUACCCCAUUUCCACUGGGACAAGCAGCAACCAGGGGUGCUCAGUCUGAUGAGGAGGCAAACGUCAGCUUGAGUUAGGGAGAACACGCAUCCCAAAGGUUUCUGUCUGCGUGCAAAGGGUACGGGGACGAUGCAGCUCAAUCCUGCUGCUGAAAACAGCAGCUUGCUCUGCCUAACAGGUUAGUCCAUCCUCCCCCG